GGGGAGAAUUCUUAUGCUGGUUCUAAGAGGUGAGUUGUAGCCUCACUAGGGUAACCGAUCGCAGGUUCGAUUCCUGCUCUCCUCA
rnacentral:tRNA from 1 species